GGUGGAGCGAUUUGUCUGGUUAAUUCCGAUAACGAACGAGACUCUAGCCUGCUAAAUAGUUCGCCGAUUGUCUAAUCUGUCGGCGUUAACUUCUUAGAGGGAUUAGUGGUGUUUAGCCACACUAGAUUGAGCGGUAACAGGUCUGUGAUGCCCUUAGAUGUCCGGGGCUGCACGCGUGCUACACUGGAAGAAUCAGCGUGUUUUUCCAUUGCCGAAAGGUAUUGGUAAACCGUUGGAACUCUUCCGUGACCGGGAUAGGGAAUUGAAAUUAUUUCCCUUAAACGAGGAAUUCCAAGUAAGUGCGAGUCAUCAGCUCGCGUUGAUUACGUCCCUGCCCUUUGUAC
rnacentral:rRNA from 1 species